UACGUAGGGUGCGAGCGUUAAUCGGAAUUACUGGGCGUAAAGCGUGCGCAGGCGGUUCGCUAAGACCGAUGUGAAAUCCCCGGGCUUAACCUGGGAACUGCAUUGGUGACUGGCGGGCUAGAGUGUGGCAGAGGGGGGUAGAAUUCCGCGUGUAGCAGUGAAAUGCGUAGAGAUGUGGAGGAAUACCGAUGGCGAAGGCAGCCCCCUGGGCUAACACUGACGCUCAUGCACGAAAGCGUGGGGAGCAAACAGG
rnacentral:rRNA from 1 species